GGGUGGUCUAGUGGUAGAGCGUCCGUCUCGCUUGCGAGAGAUCGUGGGUUCGAACCCCGUCCACCU